UGGGGGAUAUUGCACAAUGGGGGAAACCCUGAUGCAGCGACGCCGCGUGAGUGAAGAAGUAUUUCGGUAUGUAAAGCUCUAUCAGCAGGGAAGAUAAUGACGGUACCUGAGUAAGAAGCCCCGGCUAACUACGUGCC
rnacentral:rRNA from 1 species